UAAUACGUAGGGACCAAGCGUUGUCCGGAAUCAUUGGGCGUAAAGCGCGCGUAGGCGGCCCGGUAAGUCCGUUGUAAAAGUCAAAGGCUCAACCUUUGAAUGCCGAUGGAUACUGCCGGGCUAGAGUCCGGAAGAGGCGAGUAGAAUUCCUGGUGUAGCGGUGGAAUGCGCAGAUAUCAGGAGGAAUACCCAUAGCGAAGGCAGCUCGCUGGGACGGUACUGACGCUAAGGCGCGAAAGCGUGGGGAGCGAACAGGAUUAGAUACCCUGGUAGUCCACGCUGUAAACGAUGGGCACUAGGUGUGGGAGGUGUCGACUCCUCCCGUGCCGACGCUAACGCAUUAAGUGCCCCGCCUGGGGAGUACGGCCGCAAGGCUA
rnacentral:rRNA from 1 species